AUAUUGCUGUAUCUUUUUAGGGUUUGAAGAAUAAGUACUAUGCCCAAUAGAACAGCAUUUAAUUUGUAUUACAUUUAACAUUGGAUGUGUUCUCACGAUUAUAGAUUAUUUCUGUGUUCACUGUUCACAGCGUUUCAGAAGAUUGUACCUUGAAGCUGGUUUUGGCCAUGCGUGGUGGACCUAUAAAUACUAGAAAAGUUCCCAUGGAAGACCCGCUUAGGGAGAUGGCCAAGUACAUGGACCCCAGUCAAGAUGAGGUCUGGGAGAAGGCCUCCUGCAGCAGACAAGUUCCGUUCUUGGUUUACCGAGAAGGAGACCAGUUGAAUUUCUUUUAUGUAGUAGAUAGGGGAGAUGGCACUUUAACACCAUUAUCUGAAUCUUUAAGGUGUGGUUGA
rnacentral:lncRNA from 1 species